rnacentral:lncRNA from 1 species
GAUGUAAAAUUUUCAUGGUUUGUAGGGGACUGAUGGAGGAUGGUAGAGUUUGAGGAAAAAAGAUUGAACCUAUGGCUGGUAAAAAGUCUGAGAAGAUAGGGUUGGCAUAAAGAAGGGCUAUAGUGUGGAACCUAAGGCUAUAGGGAUUUGGACGUGGGGAAGGCUUGGAGGAAGAAGAGGAUCCCCACAAAGAGGUUGAUGCCAAAGAGAGGAAGAAGUUGUAUGUAUUUAUAGGGAAGAGAGAGUGGGCAUAAGAUGAGAGAGGGCUAGAGUUUUGUAGCGUGUAAGAAUUAAAGGGGGCAUAGGGAGGCAUGUAAGAAAGAAAGGAUGGGACAUG